ACACGCGUGAUUGGAGAAGGGGGAGGAAGAGAGAUGUGGAAGAGGACAGGGAGAGCACAGACAGGAAAACUGCAGAAAGCCACAGGGAAAAAGAACUCCAAGAUUACAAAUAUCCACUUCAUUUGAUGCGAGUUACUCGUCGACACAUAAGAAAAGGUCUGUUUGGACAUUCAAAGAAGCUACACAUACAAAGAUGGGUUUGGCUCGGUGCCGUCAAUCCCAGCACUAAAAAAAGUAAAACAAUCUGAGUGUCCUUAUACUCGUUCUUGCCUCGAACAAAUAAAUAAGUAAGUAAAUAAAGUGCAAGGCAAAAGAAAGUUUGCUGCUUGCAUCUGUAGGUCGUUGUGCGCGCGUGUAUAAACAUUUUGGAGUCAGUGUUUGUGUGUUACCUCCCCGG